rnacentral:rRNA from 1 species
GCAUGUCGAACGAAGCACUUGUGCUUAGUGGCGAAUGGGUGAGUAACACGUACUUAAUCUGCCCUCAAGUCUGGGACAACAGUUGGAAACGACUGCUAAUACUGGAUACGUAAUAACCUCGCAUGAGGAUAUUAUAAAAGGAGCGUUUGCUUCGCUAGAGGAUGAGAGUGCGCCAUAUUAGCUAGUUGGUAGGGUAAGAGCUUACCAAGGCGACGAUCAGUAUCUGGUUUGAGAGGACGAUC